rnacentral:rRNA from 1 species
UACGUAGGCAGCAAGCGUUGUUCGGAGUUACUGGGCGUAAAGGGUGUGUAGGCGGCUUUUUAAGUUUGGUGUGAAAUCUCCCGGCUUAACUGGGAGGGUGCGCCGAAUACUGAAGAGCUAGAGUGCGGGAGAGGAGAGUGGAAUUCCUGGUGUAGCGGUGAAAUGCGUAGAUAUCAGGAGGAACACCGGUGGUGUAGACGGCUCUCUGGACCGUAACUGACGCUGAUACACGAAAGCGUGGGUAGCAAACAGG